UCAGAAUGAACGCUGGCGGCAUGCCUAACACAUGCAAGUCGAACGAAGGCUUCGGCCUUAGUGGCGCACGGGUGCGUAACGCGUGGGAAUCUGCCCCUUGGUUCGGAAUAACAGUUGGAAACGACUGCUAAUACCGGAUGAUGACGUAAGUCCAAAGAUUUAUCGCCGAGGGAUGAGCCCGCGUAGGAUUAGGUAGUUGGUGUGGUAAAGGCGCACCAAGCCGACGAUCCUUAGCUGGUCUGAGAGGAUGAUCAGCCACACUGGGACUGAGACACGGCCCAGACUCCUACGGGAGGCAGCAGUGGGGAAUAUUGGACAAUGGGCGAAAGCCUGAUCCAGCAAUGCCGCGUGAGUGAUGAAGGCCUUAGGGUUGUAAAGCUCUUUUACCCGGGAUGAUAAUGACAG
rnacentral:rRNA from 1 species